GGUGAGAUGGCCGAGUGGUCUAAGGCGCUAGAUUUAGGUUGACCUCUUGUGAACCAUCUCUAGUCAUUCGUGGCGUGGGUUCAAAACCCACUCUCAUCA